UCACUCAACUCUCUCUCUCUCUCUCUCUCUCUCUCUCUCUCUCUCUCUCUCUCUCUCUCUCUCCAUGUGAUUUGUUUUAGUCAAGUGACCACUCAACUCUCUCUCUCUCUCUACCGACUGUCCCUAGAGCAAGUUGCAAAGGGCUUGGUGGUUGGUAUCUGAGACCCAAGUUCGAAUCCUAGUUGAUUCACAUUUCUAGCUAAGUUUAUUUCUAAAUGAAAUAAACGAAGCGGGUAGCGUGUUACCUAUUUCUCAAAGAAAAAAAAAAAACUCAAACCCAAGUUCGAAUUCUAGUUGAUUCACAUUUCUAGCUAUGUUUAUUUCUAAAUGAAAUAAACGAAGCGGGUAGCAUGCUACCUAUUUCUCAAAAAAAAAAAAAACUCUCUCUCUCUCUCUCCCUCUCUCUUUCACACACACACACACACACACACACACACACAUACACAAUUCAAAUA
rnacentral:lncRNA from 1 species